rnacentral:misc_RNA from 1 species
AAACCAAAUGGGCCCAAUUGGGUUCCGUGUUGGGCCUCGCCUCCAAUGAGGUGGCGUCGCCUCGAGGCCAUCGGUCUGAUGGGCGGACGAGCUCCUGUAGGACGGACCGUCCCUCGACCCACGCGACUUCUG